rnacentral:rRNA from 1 species
CGUCAGAUUGAACGCUGGCGGCAGGCCUAACACAUGCAAGUCGAGCGGAUGACGGGAGCUUGCUCCUUGAUUCAGCGGCGGACGGGUGAGUAAUGCCUAGGAAUCUGCCUGGUAGUGGGGGACAACGUUUCGAAAGGAACGCUAAUACCGCAUACGUCCUACGGGAGAAAGCAGGGGACCUUCGGGCCUUGCGCUAUCAGAUGAGCCUAGGUCGGAUUAGCUAGUUGGUGGGGUAAUGGCUCACCAAGGCGACGAUCCGUAACUGGUCUGAGAGGAUGAUCAGUCACACUGGAUAGUGAGACACGGCCAGACUCUUACGGGAGGCAGCAGUGGGGAAUAUUGGACAAUAGGCGAAAGACUGCUCCAGCCAUGCCGCGUGUGU